UACGUAGGGGGCGAGCGUUGUCCGGAUUCAUUGGGCGUAAAGAGCUCGUAGGCGGUCUGUCGCGUCGGCUGUGAAAACCCGGAGCUCAACUCCGGGCCUGCAGUCGAUACGGGCAGACUGGAGUUCGGCAGGGGAGACUGGAAUUCCUGGUGUAGCGGUGAAAUGCGCAGAUAUCAGGAGGAACACCGGUGGCGAAGGCGGGUCUCUGGGCCGAUACUGACGCUGAGGAGCGAAAGCGUGGGGAGCGAACAGG
rnacentral:rRNA from 1 species